rnacentral:rRNA from 1 species
UACGGAGGGAGCAAGCGUUAUCCGGAUUUAUUGGGUUUAAAGGGUGCGUAGGCGGCCUGUUAAGUCAGAGGUGAAAACUUGCAGCUCAACUGUAAGCUUGCCUUUGAUACUGAUGGGCUUGAAUAAACUAGAGGUAGGCGGAAUGUGACAAGUAGCGGUGAAAUGCAUAGAUAUGUCACAGAACACCAAUUGCGAAGGCAGCUUACUAUGGUGUAAUUGACGCUGAGGCACGAAAGCGUGGGGAUCAAACAGG